GGAUUGUGGCUCAGUGGUAGAGCGCUCGCCUAGCAUGUGUGAGGCCCUAGGUUCUAUCCUCAGCACCA
rnacentral:tRNA from 1 species